rnacentral:tRNA from 1 species
AAUGAAAUGCCUGAAUAAAGGAUUAUUUUGAUAGAAUAAAUUAUGUAGGCCUCCCUACUUUCAUUA